UGAUGGCUGUUCCUCUCAUUGCUUGAAGCCUUAGGUGGUAGGAUUUUAGUCCACUAUGUAUCUAAGCUGAUUGGUCUUCUCUUUAGGACACCAUGGGGAUGGGCUGGUGGUCCAUUAGUGUCUUCUGAUUUUUAUGGAGUCAAACAAUU